rnacentral:rRNA from 1 species
AACGAACGCUGGCGGCAGGCUUAACACAUGCAAGUCGAACGCCCCGCAAGGGGAGUGGCAGACGGGUGAGUAACGCGUGGGAAUCUACCCAGAUCUUCGGAACAACUGAGGGAAACUUCAGCUAAUACCGGAUACGCCCUACGGGGGAAAGAUUUAUCGGUUCUGGAUGAGCCCGCGUUGGAUUAGCUAGUUGGUGGGGUAAUGGCCUACCAAGGCGACGAUCCAUAGCUGGGCUGAGAGGAUGAUCAGCCACACUGGGACUGAGACACGGCCCAGACUCCUACGGGAGGCAGCAGUGGGGAAUAUUGGACAAUGGGCGAAAGCCUGAUCCAGCCAUGCCGCGUGAGUGAUGAAGGCCUUAGGGUUGUAAAGCUCUUUCAGUAGGGAAGAUAAUGACGGUACCUACAGAAGAAGCCCCGGCUAACUUCGUGCCAGCCGCCGCUGUAAUAC